rnacentral:rRNA from 1 species
GACGAACGCUGGCGGCGUGCCUAAUACAUGCAAGUUGAGCGCUGAAGGUUGGUACUUGUACCAACUGGGUGAGCAGCGAACGGGUGAGUAACGCGUGGGGAAUCUGCCUUUGAGCGGGGGACAACCUUUGGAAACGAAUGCUAAUACCGCAUAAAAACUUUAAACACAAGUUUUAAGUUUGAAAGAUGCAAUUGCAUCACUCAAAGAUGAUCCCGCGUUGUAUUAGCUAGUUGGUGAGGUAAAGGCUCACCAAGGCGAUGAUACAUAGCCGACCUGAGAGGGUGAUCGGCCACAUUGGGACUGAGACACGGCCCAAACUCCUACGGGAGGCAGCAGUAGGGAAUCUUCGGCAAUGGACGAAAGUCUGACCGAGAAACGCCGAGUGAGGGAAGAAGGUUUUCGGAUCGUAAAACUCGGUUGGUAGAGAAGAACGUUGGUGAGAGUGGAAAGCUCAUCAAGUGACGGUAACUACCCAGAAAGGGACGGCUAACUACGUG